rnacentral:misc_RNA from 1 species
UUUCCGUAGGUGAACCUGCGGAAGGAUCAUUACAGAGUUCAUGCCCUCACGGGUAGAUCUCCCACCCUUGAAUAUUUAUACCUUAGUUGCUUUGGCAGGCCGUGGAAACACCAUGGGCUCCGGCUUAUGCGUGCCUGCCAGAGGAAACAAACUCUGUUUUUAGUGAUGUCUGAGUACUAUAUAAUAGUUAAAACUUUCAACAACGGAACUCUUGGUUCUG